rnacentral:rRNA from 1 species
GCGUAACGAAGGGGUUCGAUCAUGUCAGAUUGAACGCUGGCGGGAUGCUUUACACAUACCGUCGGGCGGCAGCACGGACUUCAGUCUGGUGGCGAGUGGCGAACGGGUGGUAUGUAUCGGAACGUGCCUAGUAGCGGGGGAUAACUACGCGGCGUAGCUAAUACCGCAUACGCCCUUCGGGGAAAGCGGGGACCUUCGGGCCUCGCACUAUUAAACGGCCGAUAUCGGAUUAGCUAGUUGGUGGGGUAACGGCUCACCAAGGCGACGAUCCGUAGCUGGUUUGAGAGGACGACCAGCCACACUGGGACUGAGACACGGCCCAGACUCCUGCAGGAAGCAGCAGUGAGAUUUUGGACAAUGGGGGAAACCUGAUCCAGCCAUCCCGCGUGUGCGAUGAAGGCCUUCGGGUUGUAAAGCACUUUUGGCAGGAAAGAAACGGCACGGGAUAAUGCAAUGCAGCGGCAAGCCACCUGCAGAAUAAGCGCAAGCUAACUACGUGCCGGCAGCCGCGGUAAUACGUAGGGUGCAAGCGUUAAUCGGAACGCAGAGCGUAAAGCGUGCGCGGGCGGUUCGGAAAGAAAGAUGUGAAAUCCCAGAGCUUAACUUUGGAACUGCAUUUUUAACUACAAAAUGAGUGUGUCAGAGAAUUGGGUGCGUGUAGCAGUGAAAUGCACGUAGAUAUGCGGAGGAACACCGAUGGCGAAGGCAGCCUCCUGGGAUAACAUGACGCUCAUGCACGAAAGCGUGGGAGCAAACGGGAUUAGAUACCCUGGUAGUCCACGCCCUAAACGAUGUCAACUAGCUGUUGGGGCCUUCAGGCCUUGGUAACAAUAACGUGAAGUUGACCGCCUGGGGAGUACGGUCGCAAGAUUAAAACUCAAAGGAAUUGACGGGGACCUAUACAAGCAGUGGAUGAUGUGGAUUAAUUCGAUGCAACGCGAAAGAGCCUUACCUACCCUUGACAUGUCUGGAAUCGAAGAGAUUUGGGGAGUGCUCAUAAAGAGAACCGGAACACAGGUGCUGCAUGGCUGUCGUCAGCUCGUGUCGUGAGAUGUUGGGUUAAGUCCCACCAACGAGCACCAACCCUUGUCAUUAGUUGCUACGAAAGGGCACUCUAAUGAGACUGCAAGUGACAAACCGGGAGGAAGGUGGGGAUGACGUCAAGUCCUCAUGGCCCUUAUGGGUAGGGCUUCACACGUCAUACAAUGGUCAGGAUGAAGGGGUCGCCAACCCGCGAGGGGAGCUUAAUCCAGAAACGAUCGUAGUCCGGAUCAUGAUCUGCAACUCGACUGCGUGAAGUCGGAAUCGCUAAUCGCGGAUCAGCAUGUCGCGGUGAAUACGUUCCCGGGUCGCCUUGCCCACCGCCCGUCACCGUGGGAGUGGGUUUUGCAGAAAUGUAGUUAGCCUAACCGUGAGAGGGCGAUUACCACGGUAAGUUCAUGACUGAGACAGUCGUAACAAGGUGA